GAUGAACGCUGGCGGCGUGCUUAACACAUGCGAGUCGAACGGAAAGGCCUCUGCUUGCAGGGGUACUCGAGUGGCGAACGGGUGAGUAACACGUGGGUGAUCUGCCCUGCACUUCGGGAUAAGCCUGGGAAACUGGGUCUAAUACCGGAUAGGACAAUGGUUUGGAUGCUGUUGUGGAAAGUUUUUCGGUGUGGGAUGAGCUCGCGGCCUAUCAGCUUGUUGGUGGGGUAAUGGCCUACCAAGGCGUCGACGGGUAGCCGGCCUGAGAGGGUGUACGGCCACAUUGGGACUGAGAUACGGCCCAGACUCCUACGGGAGGCAGCAGUGGGGAAUAUUGCACAAUGGGCGCAAGCCUGAUGCAGCGACGCCGCGUGGGGGAUGACGGCCUUCGGGUUGUAAACUCCUUUCGCUAGGGACGAAGCGUUUUUGUGACGGUACCUGGAGAAGAAGCACCGGCUAACUACGUG
rnacentral:rRNA from 1 species